CUUGGCUGUUGUGAGAAGAAGAGUCAGUGCUUGGAGGAGCUGCCUAUGGGCAACAUCAAGGAGGCCUGCAUGGAGCUCUGCAGGUGGGUGACUGACUCAGGGACACUGCAGCUCUGGAGGCUGCACAGGGCUUACAACAGACCCCACUGCAAUUCUCAGCACUCAUCUCCAAAACAAGUUCUUGGUAGAGGACCUGCACCCAAGAACACACUGAGAGAGACAGAGCUGAAGGGCACCUUCCACACAGAAACCUGGAGUGGGCAGGAGAGUGCAAGUUCAUGAACAUCCUGCUCUCCUCGUGGGGUGUAUGUACACAGCUUGGCAAAGGAAAGGAAACAAGGAGCAAACCAAGAGGCAGGUCUGAGACUGGCUCAUUACAUUGAAGAAUAGAAGGGAACAGGCUGGUUGGAUCCCAUGACAAUCCCCCAGUCCCCCACAGUGAGCACAUUAGCUUCUGUUUGGCUGAGAUAUCUGUACCCUUCUCCACCCAGAGACCUCAAGAGAUGGGGGCAUCAUCAUUUCCCUUUGCAGUUCCUUAAAAUUUUUGUAGAGUGCAAGACAACCAGAUCUGCUGCUCUGUUUAAGUCUUCCUGCUGUGAUAUCAACCAAGAGACUUCAUUGAACUGAAUCACUACAGACAAUUUUGCUGUCUUCACCUGGAAACAGCCUAAAACUUGAGUGGGGUCUGAAGGAUUAGGCUGUGAUUUGACUGGAAUAUUCCUUUGCAUCACAUGGCUAUAUUUAAUUUCUAAGCUCUGCUGAAAAGUAAAUUUACUAUGCUCUGCCUGCACAGUAAAUGGCUGGAUACCACAAUCCUAGUGCAAUCAACUGCAAUAGUUCCUCAACAGGUUUGGGUCCAACCCCAACUGAAUUAUGAAUGGAAAAAGCUGCUGAGGUGAGCUUUCCAGCUCCCCCACUUCUCCUUGCUAUUCCUGACCUAACAGCAGGGAGCCAGAGUGUGGCAAAGAUGAAUCACUUCCAUUCGCAAUUUGAGCAAACUGGUGUAUUAGCUGUGCUGAAGGGUUUUUGGGACUUGGGCAGGUGUGAAUCUGUUUUACUGGGGUUUGGUAGGAAUGCAAAGAGAGAAAAGCAGGCUGCAGGUGCCAGAUUUGUGCUUUGUGUUACUAAAGUCCUUCUAGUUCAGGAACACCUGUAUAAAUAAACACACACUGAGGCACAAGAGGGUAACCUGCAAACCAAGCACUGCAGUGACUCUGGCUGGAAGGAUUCUUCUCUGAGCUCUGUUGUCCUGGCUUAGGCUGCUCAUAGGGACAGUUGUUUGCUUUUGCAGCAAUAAGGGAUUAAGACUUUCAAGUUCUGCUGAAAAAAACCUGCAGUCUUUAUGCUGCAAUGCCAGAACUCUUAAUCAGAAGCACAGACUUAGCAAACUGCACAAUAAAUGUGUUAUCAGUCUUACCUUAUCAGAAAAGUUAACAUGAGCACACUGUCAGGAAAAGUCUGGCUGCUUUUAGUGGUAUAUGGGCUGUGUUUUCAGCACCAGUUCUGAUCCUGGAGUAUUCUGUAAUGCCCAAAAGGAUGGCAUGUAAGUAUCUCAUUUAUGAUAAAGAAGUGUCAGUAUAAAUUCUGAAGCCAAAAUUGCAAAGCUGGAUUUCUUGUCUGACAGUAGAUUUCCAAACAGUCUUUGUACUGUGGUCAUGUUUCAGCGCUGAGCUGUACAAUUUAUCCCAGGGAUGUCAUUGCACACUCCCAGAUUACUGUGAACUUCAGACAUUGCUAUAAACAUUUUAUUUAGUUGUUCUAAUGCAUUGCUGCCAUUAUGAAAGUCUGGAAAUAGAACUGAUUUGGCUUGAAUGUUUGAGUAAGAUAUUCCACAAUGGCCUCAGAGAAAACCUUCAAAGUCCAGCCUUUAAGGGGAAAUGAAAGCUGUGUGGAGAUUUUAGACUCAAAGUUAGGUAUGCUGGGACAAACAGCAAACCCUGUGACACAAGUUCCUGGCCCCAGACAGCUCCCUGCCUCCAGGGCUGGGCUGGAGCUCCUGCCCUGCCCUAAACAUCAGAGGGACAACAACCAGAGGCAAUCCCCUGUCCCUUGGACUCACUGCAAGACACAGACCA